GAUGAACGCUAGCUACAGGCUUAACACAUGCAAGUCGAGGGGCAGCACAGUGUAGCAAUACAUGGGUGGCGACCGGCGCACGGGUGCGUAACGCGUAUCCAACCUUCCCGUUACUCUUGGAUAGCCUUCCGAAAGGGAGAUUAAUACAAGAUGGUAUUCAAAUUCCGCAUGUUAUUUGAAUUAAAGAUUUAUCGGUAACGGAUGGGGAUGCGUGACAUUAGAUAGUAGGCGGGGUAACGGCCCACCUAGUCUACGAUGUCUAGGGGUUCUGAGAGGAAGGUCCCCCACACUGGAACUGAGACACGGUCCAGACUCCUACGGGAGGCAGCAGUGAGGAAUAUUGGUCAAUGGCCGAGAGGCUGAACCAGCCAUGCCGCGUGAAGGUCACGGCCCUAUGGGUCUUAAACUUCUUUUGUAAGGGAGCAAUAAGGUUCACGUGUGGACUGAUGAGAGUACCUUACGAAUAAGCAUCGGCUAACUCCGUGCCAGCAGCCGCGGU
rnacentral:rRNA from 1 species